rnacentral:rRNA from 1 species
UACGUAGGGUGCGAGCGUCGUCCGGAAUUAUUGGGCGUAAGGGGCUCGUAGGCGGUUUGUCGCGUCGGGAGUGAAAAUCCAGGGCUUAACUCUGGACUGGCUUUCGAUACGGGCAGACUAGAGGUAUGCAGGGGAGAACGGAAUUCCUGGUGUAGCGGUGAAAUGCGCAGAUAUCAGGAGGAACACCGGUGGCGAAGGCGGUUCUCUGGGCAUUACCUGACGCUGAGGAGCGAAAGUGUGGGGAGCGAACAGG